rnacentral:rRNA from 1 species
GGGUUAAGUCCCGCAACGAGCGCAACCCCUACGUUUAGUUGCUAACGCGUGAAGGCGAGCACUCUAGACGAACUGCCGUUGACAAAACGGAGGAAGGUGGGGAUGACGUCAAAUCAUCAUGCCCCUUAUGUUCUGGGCUACACACGUGCUACAAUGGCCGGUACAGACGGACGCAAAGCCGCGAGGUGGAGCAAAUCCUAAAAAGCCGGUCUCAGCUCGGAUUGCAGGCUGCAAUUCGCCUGCAUGAAGUCGGAAUCGCUAGUAAUCGCAGGUCAGCAUACUGCGGUGAAUACGUUCCCGGGCCUU